GCGGAUGUGGCGGAAUUGGUAGACGCGCCAUCUUGAGGGGGUGGUAGCCUUUGGCUGUGUGGGUUCAAGUCCCACCAUCCGCACCA
rnacentral:tRNA from 2 species